rnacentral:rRNA from 1 species
CAGCAGCCGCCGCGGUAAUACGAAGGGGGCUAGCGUUGUUCGGAAUUACUGGGCGUAAAGGGCGCGUAGGCGGCCAUUCAAGUUAGAUGUGAAAGCCCUGGGCUCAACCUAGGAAUUGCAUUUGAUACUGUUUGGCUUGAGUUCGGGAGAGGUGAGUGGAAUUCCCAGUGUAGAGGUGAAAUUCGUAGAUAUUGGGAAGAACACCGGUGGCGAAGGCGGCGACCUGGUCCUUUACUGACGCUGAGGCGCGAAAGCGUGGGGAGCAAACAGGAUUAGAUACCCGCGUAGUCCCUGUCUCUUAUAC